rnacentral:lncRNA from 1 species
UUUGUUAUACCAAGUUAAAGCUUUGGAUAUUCGUUAUUACUUCUCUAUUGUUGUACUUGAAGUUUUGUCUUGUCGAUAUCUUUCCUUGAGCUUGUUUCUCGAAUGUCAUCGAAUGCGUUUCACUGCUUAAUAUUCGACACCACGGGUUUCACUCUUUCAUCUCAAGUCGAAAGAAUGGGCUAAGAUGUCAAUAUUUAGAGUUUAUGUGUUGUGCUCGCGACUAUUCGAAAUUCGUAUUGUGUUUUCUGUCUGUAUAAAUGGCUUCAUGGGUUGCAAGAUGAUUUUAAGUUCAAAUUAUAUCGCGUACAUGUCGCUGAACCGAUUUGCUUUUGCACACAUUUACUCUGUUUUUAUUGUUGAUACUGCAUGCCCUCUGGAAAGAGCUAUUUUAGUCAAGUGAAAUAUCACAAUUUGGAUAAGUUUCUAAUGUGUCAUUUACNN